GGUAAAGGUGAGUUGUGAGAGCAUGACCGAACAACCGUCGGUCUAGGGGAGUGCUUAAAUGUGGCACUAGACUAUAUACAUAUUCUACGUAUGUAUAUAUGAAGGUUGCAUUGUGGAGCAAUUAUUUUUCUGGGAAUUGAGUACCCCAUGGAUGUGUAUGGGUAUACAGACAUGGGAAUACUGAAAAGUGUAACGUACUUGUAACGACGCACCUACGCGCAGGUAAGAAAGUAAGUUACCACAAUGGGCUGCCCUGUGGUUAAAAGUGUGGCAGCGGCGCCUAUGCGUGGCUCGGCGCUUAAUGAGGAGCUGGCCUCCAUAUAGAAAUAUAUGGAGUAUAAAUUGUGACCAAAUGUGUGAAUUGCAUCAUGGGAUUUGGGCUGUAAUGGAAUAUUCUGUAGGUACACUGACUAAACUCUAGGAAAUUACGACUAGUUAACUCCGGAGUGAGUAGGUAUGCCACCGCCAUAGAGCGUGCAAGCCACUAUAUGCUAGCAAGAUUGUGAGGACGAAUAGGACGAGCAUGCAUCAUGACAUAUAACUUUAAGUUAAACCCCCUAUGUAGUAGCUUUAGUACGUGUUUCGUCUACCCUGUUCAUGUUGUCUGUCUUUGCCUUUCUAUGCUACCUUUCCUUGUUUUUGAAGACUGGAAGCCAAGUUUAGUUGGUGGGCAGAAUACCUUGUGCUGCAGCCAGAAGGACGUUAAGUUCUUGGGUUGAGUUCUGUGAGGUAUUUCGGGCACGUCAUGUUCCAGAAGCCCCUAUGCAAAUAAAGUUCAAAGCGUUUUUGGAUCUAAAGCAAGGUGAAGAAGCGAGUGUAAUGGACUAUUUGAGAGGUUUACUCGCCUAUCCCAGUAUGUUUUGGAUUUUGUGGAUACUAGUGAGAGGAAAAGGGUAAUACUUCCUACGUGGUUUUAAUGUGAAACUUUAGCUCCUGAUGACAACCAGUUCGACUGAAGGUUAUAAUAAGGUGGUUAGUCAAGCUGUUCUGGGAGAUAAUAAGGUUUGUCUACAUCAGGAGUUUAAGUGAAAGAAGUAAAGAAUAUGCACGAUGUUAAGAAGUUUCUAGAGGUGUUCCCCAAGAUUUUGCUUGGUUUACCUCCGGAAAGGGUCGUGGAAUUUGUGAUCGAGUUGCAGUCCGGAACUCCUAUUACCCUGGAAGUAGUAAGAUGAACCAAUAUUUGGAACAAAUAUUUUGGUGGACCUCUGGCUUAUAAGGUGCAGCUGCCAGAAAAUAUUGCAGCAGUGCCCAACAUAUUCCACGUGUAUCAGUUGAAGAAGUUUCUUCGAGCCCCCGAACUUGUUCUUGAGAUGUCAAAUGUCAAUAUUCAACCAGAUUUAACCUACUCGAGUAUUCCAUAAAGGUUUUGGAUCAAAAGGAUAGGGCCACUCGAAGAAUGUUAUCGAGUUUUACAAGAUACGGUGAAACCAAAACACACGGAAGACCAAGCCACAUGAGAAUUGGAGGAGAAUCUAGAAAAGCAUGUUCCUGAGUUUCUAGUGUCUUGUAAACCUAGGUCUGGUGUGUUUUGUCCUUAACAUAAACCAAAAGAGGUACGCCUCUCGUCUUUUAAGAGUAAUGGGGAAAUAAACUAGUGAUGCAUUUCCUUUUUCCAUUACUUGACCUAGAAUUUUAAAUCUCGGGACGAGAUUCCUUUUUAGGGGGGAAGGAUGUAACACCCCUGGUGUUACAAGAACUAAAAUUUUGGCAUAACAUCAUAUGCAUCCACAUCAUUUUGCUUGAUAUCCCUAGAAUGCAUUUUACUAGGUUAAAAGUUCAACUCAAAUGUGAUGUGUUGUGUUGUUGGGAGCGAGGGAAGAUUAAAAACCCUGUUUGCAAUCAAGUUUAAGUGCACCACUUCUAAACAGUGUCAUUUUGGACAUGAGAUAUAUACACCAAAGUGGGAUCUUAGGUUAAGGAGUAACUCUACUCUUAAGUGAUGAACCCAAAGUGGUGAGAUUGUUGGAGAAAAGCAAUCCCAAUUGAAACCUUAAAGAAGCCCAAAAGUGGAAUUUUAAAUCUAGAGAGAAUUUGCUAAAGGUAUAUAUAUAAAAGUUGUAGGUUUUGGAAAGUUGAACAACUUUCAUGUGUGGAUAUUUCCAAGUUUUAUAGAAAAAGUUGGAGUAAAAUGCUAAAUUCAGUUUUGAUUCAGAUUUGAAGUUUGCUGAAAAUAAUAUCAACUAGCUGUUUUGGUGGCUUUACAACUUUUGAUCUAUAAACAGUUUGAAGGUGGACAAUGUAACAAAGUUGUAGAGCUACACUAGGGGUACAAAUUUGCUUAGGCAACCCAUCCCUAAAACCAUAUGAAACUGGGUGUAAAACUGGUCCAAAGUGGAGCUCACAGAUUUGGAUUUCAGACUUAGUGCAACUUACUAAAUCUGAAUUUUAGUGUUUUUGGUGCAACUUUGGAGCUUCUUUGUGCCUGAUCCAUGGAGUUCUGGGGUAUAUCUCUGCAGCAAAGUUGAAUACCAUAUAAUGGUGAUCAAAUAUUCUUAAGAAAGUUUUGUUUGGUGCUGCACAAAAAUUGAGUAAACUAUGCCCAACCAUUCUUUGUCAGGCAUGUGUGUUCAGUUUCUUGUUUAGUUAGCUGCAGCUGAAUUCUAGUGUUUUUACCUAACUUCAGGGCACUAUAACUUUUGAUCCAUGAAGUUAUAGUCUGCACUCUCUAUAUAAAACUGUUAGAGGGUGGUGUGGGGAGUAAUUUUCAUUAAGUUGGAUCGCCGUGACCUUGCAUAGAACUAGGAGAAAAGCUUGCUCGAAGCUGUGGUGUCAAACAUUUGGGUUUCAGCACUAGGUUCAGUUUAUUGAAGCUGAAAUUCAUUGUUUUUCAUCUGACUUUGGAGUUCUCCUUUGCCUUGUCCAUGGUGUUUCGAGCUGCAUGCCCUAUAGAAAAAUGUUAGGGGAUGGUUUGGUGAACAAAUUUCCUUAAGUAGGUUUGUCUUGAUACUACACAAAUUUGGGAGAAAUGUUGGUCCAAAGAGGGGCUGUCGGGAUUUAAUGUCCGAACUCAGGUUUCAGCCAACUGAAAGACCAAGUUCAGUGUGCUUACUCAGUUUUAGAUCCUUGUUGUGACUAAUCCAUGUGGGUAUGAGCCAUGACUCCUGUAGCAAUGUUGAAGAUCUUUGGUUAGUGAGUAGAUUUCUUAUUAUGAGAUUGGCAUGGUCCUGCACAGAGCUUGCAGUAAACUGUCCCAAAACAUUCACUGUCAGGUUUUGGAUUUCAGCUAACUGAAACAAGAAAGUUCAAUUGGUUUGGGACAACUUUGGGGCAUUAUAACUUUCUAUCAGUGUGUUUUCAGCCAUGUGUUGCUAUAGCAAGUUGUUAGAGGGCAGGAUGGAGAGCGGUUUUUGUUAAUAUACAUUUUUCCCGUUUUUACUUCAAAUCGAGAGAAAAUUCUGCUCCAAGUCGAGUUGUCAGUCUGGGAAAAUGCUGAAUCUUAUUCAGUUAGUAAAAGCCAUGAUUCAACAUUUUCACCCCACUUUGAGGCACAAUAAUUCGUAAUCUGUGAGCUUUCGACCUUGAGUUGCUGCAGCACUUUCUUAGAGCUAUAUUUUGUGAGAAAAUUUUGUUAACAAAGGUCAACAUGUAUUACAUGGAAUUGUGAGGAUCAAAGGGGUUAAGGAUGGGGAUUUAGUUGUUUAGUGCUGAAUUCAGUUUCGGUGACUGAAAACUUGGUUUAGUUUUGGGAGCAGAGAGCUCUCCACGUUGUAGUUAUGCUCCCCAUGUGUCAGUAAUUUAAAGCUGUGGUUAGAGAUGGGAAGAGCUGGUAGUUGGAAGAGAGUUCAACCAAUCCACUAGCUGGGUGUGGGGCUGAACGUGCUUCAGUUUGGAAGAGUGUUCAGCUAAUCCACUAACUUGUGUGCUCCAUGUGCAUGUCGGCAGGAGCUAGCUUGCUUGCCUCCUGUAAUUUGAGCGUUGAGCUCUGCAGGACUGUGAGGCUUGAACGGACACGCGUAGUGGACGUGGCACUGGUUGCAGGGAGCCAGGUUUGUCCCCUAUUCUAGAUGUUUUCCCCUGGUGGUGGCCGACGGUCAUCGAGCUGGGCUGCCACGCAGCUACUUCCUGUCUGUGCCACAUGCAAGAGCUGCCACGCAGCUGUCUGUGUGCUUUCGCUGGGACGUGUGGCUGGCUGCGCGUGCAAUUCUCCUCUCCUUCCUAGUUUAAAAUCCAAAGUGCAGUAAUCUUCCUCCUUCCUUUUUCCUAUUGCUGUGCUCUACAGUUCAAUAAUUUCCCUGCCAUCUCUCGGCCUUUAGUGAAUUUCUCCAUGAGCUUUACUGGUCACCGAACUCGCAUUCGAGUUGACAUGCUUUGCGUCGUUCAACUGGCCAGAGCUCGCCGCAUGUCAUCUCCGGUUCUUCCCAGCCCAUGGUGUGUGUCGCUGCACACUUGCCAGCGGUCGUCGGCCAUCGACCCCACGCUCAUUCUCGCAACCUCACUGCAGCAUCGUCGUUCUCCCAGUUCUGCGCGAACGUCUGUGAACAUCUAGAGAAGAAGCGGUGUCUGAAAAAGGAGUUCACUCCAGAGCCUCUUGAUCCAGUGGUGGAGUUUUAUCUAACUACUUACAGAGUAGAAUAAUUUUGGGAUCUACUCCUGCAAUAAGGCAAGCCCCGGUGCAUUUGCCACCUCCCUUGUGUUUACAAAAUUUUAUCACUUAUAUGCUGCAUUAGGUGAUAGGAGUUGAUUGAUUAAACACUUGAUGCAUUACCAUCCUUGAAAGAUUGAUUACCAUACCUUGUCACCUGUUUUAUAAAAGCUAGAGAUGCUUAGUCAUGCUGAUAGACUAAGAAAAAUGUUUUUGAUCUA